UACGUAGGGCGCAAGCGUUGUCCGGAAUUAUUGGGCGUAAAGAGCUCGUAGGCGGCUUGUCGCGUCGGUUGUGAAAGCCCGGGCUUAACCCCGGGUCUGCAGUCGAUACGGGCAGGCUAGAGUGUGGUAGGGGAGAUCGGAAUUCCUGGUGUAGCGGUGAAAUGCGCAGAUAUCAGGAGGAACACCGGUGGCGAAGGCGGAUCUCUGGGCCAUUACUGACGCUGAGGAGCGAAAGCGUGGGGAGCGAACAGG
rnacentral:rRNA from 1 species